rnacentral:rRNA from 1 species
UACGUAGGCAGCGAGCGUUGUUCGGAAUUACUGGGCGUAAAGAGUGUGUAGGCGGUGUUCCCAGUCUGUUGUGAAAUCUCCCGGCUUAACUGGGAGGGUGCAGCGGAAACUAGAAUGCUAGAGGGUGGGAGAGGUAAGCGGAAUUCCUGGUGUAGCGGUGAAAUGCGUAGAUAUCAGGAGGAACACCUGUGGUGUAGACAGCUUACUGGACCACUUCUGACGCUGAGACACGAAAGCGAGGGUAGCAAACAGG